rnacentral:rRNA from 1 species
UACGGGGGGGGCGAGCGUUGUUCGGAAUCACUGGGCGUAAAGGGCGCGUAGGCGGCCCGCACAAGUCUGCGGUGAAAACCCCCGGCUUAACCGGGGGCCGGCCGUGGAAACUGUCGGGCUGGAGGCUGGGAGAGGGCAGCGGAAUUCCCGGUGUAGCGGUGAAAUGCGUAGAGAUCGGGAGGAACACCGGCGGCGAAGGCGGGUCUCUGGGAAGUAACUGACGCUGAGAAGCGAAAGCGUGGGUAGCGAACAGG